rnacentral:lncRNA from 1 species
GUCUGUGGGGAACUGGGGCGCUGGUCGGUGCGCGGGCUGGGACGCUAAGUCAUGAGGAAUUAAACUGGGAAACCUGGCGUGGGUCCAGGCGCCUUCCAGGAGGCAUCCGGCGCGGCCCGGACGUGCUUCUACCCAGAACCACCCCCUCCAGGCCGGGGUGCACUUAACGGGGCUAUACAAAGAGUCUGGUGGGUGACUGUGGGCCUCAUCCCUAUCCCGGGGUCUGAUAGGGAAGACUCUCGGGCCCCGCAGGGAAUAUCUGGCUAGUGCACCCUCGGCGGGAGCGCCACUCUCCCUCCUUGGGCGGCGCCCCCCACCUCUCAUCCCGCCCAAUCCGUUUUGCAAAGUCGGCCAAAACAAAAACAAACUUGGAGCGCUGAUAGACACUGUUAUUGCCCAUCUGAACUCGUCAACUGAGAAGGAAAGAGAUGGUUUAUGCUGUGAAUAAAAUACAGUUGUGCUGUGAUGUAAAUCCCCUCAUCCUGGAGCAGCUGAGCAAGGUCUAAGGCAGGAAGAACCUUCAAGCAGGUCAUGGCUUGCAGGCUCAACUCUGCCUGGCAGUGGCAAGGGCCAGGGCCAGUGACUGAAGCAACAAACUGCCAGAUGACUGCAGCUCAAGCCAAUGCACAAAGCCACUGCAACAAGAGAGGAAAUUCUUCCAUUUCCAAGUGUGUCGAUUUCUCCCCAUCAAGGAAAACAGCUAAGGCAAUGUGUUGAUAUUUUCUUUGACCAAGUCAUCAGGAGUCACAUAGACAUACAGCACUCAAGAAGUGGCUGUAACUAAAGGCACAUCUCGUUCAUCUACAACCCUUGUAAUCCCAACCUUUGUCUGAUGCACAAACCCUUCCCUAGUUCUCCCCACCACCACCACUGCACCUCCAAGUGGGGACAACGAAUUGUUUCAUUUGCAUGUGGUUUUUCUCAUGAAAAAUAUCAUUAACAUGAGACAGCCCCAAACCAAGGAAACCAGAAGUGGGGUUUGUGCUUGGUCUUACUGAGAGCUUUCCCUACUUGACCAGACCCCAGCAUUGUUCUAGAUUUGUCUCUUGUGGGCUACAGGAAUGCAAACAUUUUGUAGUUUCCUCUUUUUUGUUUUCUUAAUGGCUUGAUGAGCCACACAUGUUUCUCUAAAUGCAUGAUUUUAAAUUCACACAA